UAGUCUGGCAGAAAACAAGAAUGGACCAAGCCAGGAGAUAAGUACAGGCUGGAUGUCUCUAAUGGUUCUCAGAAUGAAGUGAGGUGUCUAUGACAUCACAGGAUAGAUCCCUGCCCUAGUAACAACAGUGUUCUUAGACUGAAGAUAACCCAGAGUCCAGCAAGGAGAGCUUGGAUUCACAUCAAGCACACUCUGUCUGCCCAGGUUUGGGCUGUUUUCUGGAAUGAAUACUACUCAAAAUUCAACCUAAAUGCUGAAAAUAAAGCAAAAUUAACAUUAAAAGUAGCUUUCUACAAACAUGGAACAGAAAAAGAUCUACCACAACCAUGAGGAAAAACAGGUACCCUGUCCCUGAAGAUGCCAGAGCCUUAACAAGAGGAGAUAUGAACCUGGGCAAUUCCAUUAUCCUGAAGAAGCCCAGGUCCAAAGAAAGAAGAGAGGUGGGCCUGGGAUAGUCCCUAACCUUGAAGCAUACAGGGCCCAAACCAAAAGGUGUGUGGAUCUCAGCCAAUCCCUGACCCUGAAGAGGCCUAGGUGCAAAGAAAGAUGUGAUAUGGGCCUGGGCCUAUCGCUAAACCUGAAGCAGCCUGGGCCUAAAGAAGAGUGGACCUGGGCUAAUGCCUGUCCCUGAAAAAGCUUAAGCCCAAAGCAAAUAGUGGUAUGUACCUGGGUCUAUCCCUCACUCCGAAGAGGCUCAGGCACACAGAAUAAGAAAUGUAGGUCUGGGCCAAUCCAGGAUCCUUAAAACGCUUGGACCCAAACAAUUGGAGAUAUGAGCCUUGACCCUGAAGAGGCUUGGGCCCAAAGCACACUGAGCCAGUGGCCUGGGCCAAUCCUUCACCCUGAGAAAUACUGGUUUCCAAGAAAGAAGUAAUGUGGAUCUAGUUCUCUACCUAACCCUGAAGAGACCUAGACCAAGAACAAUAAGUGAUCUGGGCCUUGGCCUGGGUUUAUCCCUAACAUGAAGAGGCCUGGGCCUACAGAAGAAAUGUGGACCUGAGCUAAUCCUUGACCCAAAAAAGCCCAGGUCCAAAGCAAAAAGUGUUUUGGGCCUGGGCCAAAAACCUACCCUAAAGAGGCAUUGUACCCAAAAAAAGGAAAUGUGUGGACCUGGGCCAAUCCCUUACCCAUUAAGUGCUUGGGUCCAAGAAUAAAAAAUUUGGUCCUGUGCUACUCCUUCAAAUGAAAGGAGUUGGCCAAACCAAUAAAAUAUGUGCCUAGGGCUCAUUCUGACAGUGAGGAUAUUGAGACUCAAACUCUAAUGUGAAAUUAGCCAAGAUUAGCUGUCACCCAAAGAGACCUGAACCCAAACAAAAGUGUGUGCCUCAGUCAAACCUAAAGUGAAGCAACAUUGUGGACAGAGCAUGUACUCUGAUCCAAGGACAUAAUUUCAAUUGUUAUUUUAAAACCAACCAAACCAUCAAUGAGGACAUAUCCUAGCUUGUUUCUUGAUACUCUUGGACUUACUUACAACACUUCCUAUACUGUUGCCACAAAGAAAACGGCCACAGGAUACCCCUAAUUGAGUUAAGUGCUCACAUUAAUGACCAAAUGAAAUGGCCAUACAUAUAAAAAUUGAUUCGACUGUAUCUGUCCCUAUUUAGGUUCAGUAUAUAUUGUCCCUAGGCCAAACAUGGAAUCAUAUAGAAGUCAUCCAUGACUGACUACCAUGUGAUAGCAAUGCAAGCUGGAGGCUCCCUGAACACCUAGCACCUGGGUCAAGCUUCAAGUAUGCUUGGGCUACAACUUCACUUUUCCCAGCACAGGCUACAUUCUCAGUUCAGAAGAGCCAGGCAAAACAAAUCCUUCAUGGAGUCUGACCAGCAAAUGACCAUCAAACAAUAUGGGCAGACUUUGUAAUCAUGUGUGUGGGUGCUCUGCUCUCUAUUCAAGUCUGACUACCUGCUAUUUAGACUUCACAUAAUUCAGGAAAUGUUGAAGGGUGUGAAGUGUGGGUAAGUCCAGACCAAUCCGUUCAACAAAACAGAACCAUUGUACUGAUAAGGUUUGGUGUUUUAAUCAUAGAGAUCUAUUAUAUAACCUCAAGAAUUAUGGACUACACCCUCCUUUAACACAACCCAGGAAACAUUCUCAAAUCAGGAAGUGAAGACCACUUCAUAAUCAUCAUAUAAUCUGGACCAGAUUUGAAUAUCAAAUAACAUGGGCAUAUUCUGGUAUCAAGGUUGUGUGGGCCACACCCAGGAAUCCCCUGUGUCCUGAUCUUAUGUUGAAUACCAUAAAUCAAAGACAACUGAUCUCAAGUGUGAUCUGGGUCACACACUACUUUCGGAAGCGUGAAUUCCCUUUAAAACUAUGGAAUUUUCUGAAGACUUAAAUAAGGGCAAAGAUCAUAAAGUGAUGGCAGUUGGAUUCUGUCAGUCCCCUAACUAUUGAGUACUAUGGGUGCAGCCCAAAUUCAAGGGUGUGUGGGCCACACACUCUUCAUAUGACCCAGUACUACAUUCAGAUCAAGAGAGCCAGGUCCAUACAACAUAGCCCUCAAUGGGACAGGGACUCUCCUUAAUGACCAAAUCACAUGGCCAUGCUCUAAUGAUUAAAUAACACAUGGAAUAAUUGAGACCACCUGAUUUUCCCCCAAGGCAAUACUCUGUUGAUCAAAGACAAAACUUUUAGAUGCAUAAACAAGUCUUCGUAAAUUGAUGCCUGACAUCCAAUUAGUAUCGUGUAAGCUGGGAGCUGCAUACCAAGAAGCCUGUGUCAAAUUUAACUUCAAGCAUCGUGGGUAACACCAUUCAUCGAACACUGGAGAUAUGAUCAACUCAGAGGCAUUUGUGACAUCUGGGCCACAGCAGAGAUAGAUCCUGGCAGACUUUGGCUUGAUGCACAUGUGGGCCACACUUAGAAGCCAUUAUGUACCAAGAUGCUAUUUUCAGAAGAUACAGGACAAUAUGUUUUCCAGUAUGAGUUAUCAAACAGCAAGUUUUCAGAGAAAAUUAGGACCAUUACAACAACCAACACUUAUUGUCUGAUAUGUGACAUCACCUUCAUAAAUCUCAAGACUAUGGUGGAAUCCCUCUUAUCCUGACAUCUCAGUUUCCCUAACCGUUUUCUCUUGACCUUGGCUCUCAAUCUGACCUGAUUAUAAACAUCAAGAACCCAUUGGAUAAAGAAUGUGAUAACCCAGGAGUACAGACACAAUUUAAAUACAAAACUAUAAUUAAAAAAACCCUGUUAUACCUUC